rnacentral:lncRNA from 1 species
AGAAGUAGAGAAAGGAGGUUUCUGCUGUGCCUGAUGACAAUAUUUGUUUUUUCCACACAAAAAAUAUUCUGGCUCCACGUUGGAGCACUAGUUGUGAUGAAUCCUAGUCUUGGUCGGAUUCUAAGGAAGGGCCAGAACGUUCGUUGAGGAAUAAAGAGUCACACCACUCCAGAAAAUGUGUUCCAGCCCUCGUUUAUUACUCACAGAGCAGCAGGUCUUUAAUAUUUUAGAGAAGAAUGCUAGGGGUGCCAAGAUGGCUUUUCUUUGUCUCAUGAAAUUCCACUUAGCUCAGGGUAACCUGAUAGCUAAAGACAAAUCAAGUCACUAUCAAGGCUGAUAAAAUUAAAUACAACACGUGGGAAUUUCAUUCCUCCAGGCAAUCCUUGAAGUGAAAUUUUAUACUGCUGGAGUGUAUCCUUCAGAAUCAAUUGUUUCAAUGAGAAUCUAUCUUGUAAUCAGCAACAGCCUUGAGAUCAAAACUACUGGAAAGUCAUUUUGAACUUCUGUGUCACAAAGAUUUCAACUGAUUGAACUGUGUACACUUGUAAAAUUGCACUUGCUGAGGAAUUUGCAGCUGUAAUCAUGUGUUGAUACUCUAAGGGUGCAGAAAAGCAGCAAACUGUUGGAUUCUCCAUUGCAGACCAGUGGCUUUUCAUCUUGAUGAAGUCAACCUCCAAGUUGUAUUGGAUCCUUCCCUCUAAAAUGAUCCCUGGUCCACUUUCAGAUUGCUGGUGGUACUGCACAUUGCUUUAAUUAAAUUUCUGUUGCAGAAAUGGUCCUCUGGCAUGGCGCAGUUUUAGACAUUUUUAUUUGUGUUCAAAUCUUGCAGCUCUGAAAGAUACAUAUUUCAAUAUCUUGAAGUUGCUUUUGUUAUAGGAAUGGAAUUAUAUAUCCAUUGUUAAUAAUUAUUGUUGACAAGUAAUAGUUAUCUGAAUACACCAGUCAUAUUAGAUUGUAUAGUCAGGCUGACAUGUUUGCCUAAGGCUAAUCAGCCACUGCAACUUAACAGUUAAAAAAGUAGUGGUCAAAACUCAAUUACCACCUCCAUUAUAAAGCAUUUUAUACCUCUAAGAUAUAGAUUUCCAUUUAGUUUGAAGGAGAUGGGUGUUCCCAAUGUGUACUUUACUUUCCUAACCUUUAAUUGAUUUAAGUUCAUGGUAACCAGUCGAUGACGGUAUUUCAUCUUUUUUUUCUCAGGGUAGGCAGGGAUGUAAAUGAGUUUUGCAAUUAUGAAAUUGGAUGGUAAUCACUCAGAAUUUUUGUCUUUUUAUUAAAAAAUAAAAUCUCUUGCUUGAACCUAAGUACUGAUGGA